UACGGAGGGAGCUAGCGUUGUUCGGAAUUACUGGGCGUAAAGCGCACGUAGGCGGCUUUGUAAGUUAGAGGUGAAAGCCCGAAGCUCAACUCCGGAAUUGCCUUUAAGACUGCAUCGCUUGAAUCCGGGAGAGGUGAGUGGAAUUCCGAGUGUAGAGGUGAAAUUCGUAGAUAUUCGGAAGAACACCAGUGGCGAAGGCGGCUCACUGGACCGGUAUUGACGCUGAGGUGCGAAAGCGUGGGGAGCAAACAGG
rnacentral:rRNA from 1 species